rnacentral:lncRNA from 1 species
UGGAAAUGCCAAGUUUGUUGGGGGCAUUCCUUUAGUGACGCCAAAAUUGCACUUUGAUCGCAUUUCGCAUUUUGAUCUCAACGUAGUUCCAGAUAUACAAAAAUGUGUGCUAGCCAAUGAUAUUGAUUACAAUGCCACGGUCCUGCUAGUAGUUCCAUCAAACAUUGUUAGUUUCAUUUUGGCAUUGGCUGGUGGUUUUCAGUGGAAACUCAAACACAUGGCUCAGCCUCCCGGUUUUACAGAAACUCUAUAUCUUGUUUGUACACUCUGGUCUUCCACAUUUCGGAUAAUGCUUGCUCCUAUUCUUUCUGUAUCAUAGUUCUUCCCUG